rnacentral:rRNA from 1 species
UUCGCAAUGCCCGAAAGGGUGACGAAGCGACGCCGCGUGCGGGAAGAAGGCCUUCGGGUAGUAAACCGCUGUCGGGAGUUAAGAAAUGCAGAGAUGUUAAUAGCGUCUUUGCUUGACUAAAGCUCCGGAGGAAGCCACGGCUAACUCUGUGCCAGCAGCCGCGGUAAUACAGAGGCGGCAAGCGUUGUUCGGAAUUAUUGGGCGUAAAGAGCACGUAGGCGGCUAUGUAAGUCGGUUGUGAAAGCCUUCCGCUCAACGGGAGAACAGCAUCCGAUACUGCAUGGCUUGAGUGCGGGAGGGGAGAGUGGAACUUCUGGUGGAGCGGUGAAAUGCGUAGAUAUCAGAAGGAACGCCGGCGGCGAAAGCGGCUCUCUGGCCCAUAACUGACGCUGAGUGUGCGAAAGCUAGGGGAGCAAACGGGAUUAGAUACCCCGGUAGUCCUAGCCGUAAACGAUGGGCACUAAGUAGAGGGGUUUU